rnacentral:misc_RNA from 1 species
CCAUUAUUAGAGUAUACUAUGCAGCGAGAGUAGCUAAGACUGCGUUAGAUUUGUGCGCGCCUUCACACUGGACGUACGUCCAGUGUGAAGUUUUGGUUAUUUUUGCUGUAUGGCGUAUUUCAACAAUAUCUACCUUUGAUUUUUUGCGCACUCAUGUUUCCUCGGCAGGCUUGCCUGCCGGCUGGACAAUUCAAUAACCCUUGAAAUAUUCAAUCAGCGUCUGUAAACAUAAUAAUUA